rnacentral:rRNA from 1 species
CGAACGGGCGUAGCAAUACGUCAGUGGCGGACGGGUGAGUAACACGUGGGAAUAUGCCUUUCGGUUCGGAACAACUCGGGGAAACCCGUGCUAAUUCCGGAUACGCCCUUACGGGGAAAGAUUUAUCGCCGAAAGAUUAGCCCGCGUUGGAUUAGCUAGUUGGUGAGGUAAUGGCCCACCAAGGCAACGAUCCAUAGCUGGUUUGAGAGAACGACCAGCCACACUGGGACUGAGACACGGCCCAG